ACACUCCUGCGGGAGGCAGCAGUGGGGAAUAUUGCACAAUGGGCGCAAGCCUGAUGCAGCCAUGCCGCGUGUAUGAAGAAGGCCUUCGGGUUGUAAAGUACUUUCAGCGGGGAGGAAGGCGAUAAGGUUAAUAACCUUGUCGAUUGACGUUACCCGCAGAAGAAGCACCGGCUAACUCCGUGCCAGCAGCCGCGGUAAUACGGAGGGUGCAAGCGUUAAUCGGAAUUACUGGGCGUAAAGCGCACGCAGGCGGUCUGUCAAGUCGGAUGUGAAAUCCCCAGGCUCAACCUGGGAACUGCAUUCGAAACUGGCAGGCUAGAGUCUUGUAGAGGGGGGUAGAAUUCCAGGUGUAGCGGUGAAAUGCGUAGAGAUCUGGAGGAAUACCGGUGGCGAAGGCGGCCCCCUGGACAAAGACUGACGCUCAGGUGCGAAAGCGUGGGGAGCAAACAGGAUUAGAAACCCCGGUAGUCCCA
rnacentral:rRNA from 1 species